rnacentral:tRNA from 1 species
GCCCUCGUAGCUCAGGGGACAGAGCAAGGGAUUCCUAAUCCCUGUGCGGAGGUUCGAAUCCUCCCGAGGGCACCA